rnacentral:rRNA from 1 species
UAACGACUCUCAGCAACGGAUAUCUUGCUCUGCAACGAUGAAGACGCAGCGAAAUGCGAUACCUAGUGUGAAUUGCAGAAUUCCGCGAAUCAUUGAGUCUUUGAACGCAAGUUGCGCCCGAGGCUUGUCCCGAGGGCAUGCCUGCCUGAGCGUCACC